CACCGGAAAAAGAAGAGNGGCGAACGGGUGANUAACACGNGGGUAACCUGNCCAUCAGAAGGGGAUAACACUUGGAAACAGGUGCUAAUACCGUAUAACAAUCGAAACCGCAUGGUUUUGAUUUGAAAGGCGCUUUCGGGUGUCGCUGAUGGAUGGACCCGCGGUGCAUUAGCUAGUUGGUGAGGUAACGGCUCACCAAGGCCACGAUGCAUAGCCGACCUGAGAGGGUGAUCGGCCACAUUGGGACUGAGACACGGCCCAAACUCCUACGGGAGGCAGCAGUAGGGAAUCUUCGGCAAUGGACGAAAGUCUGACCGAGCAACGCCGCGUG
rnacentral:rRNA from 1 species